AGUGAUUUAGGGAGCCCUUUGUGGGUUUCCCCUAUUUACCUUUAGCCUUUUACCACAUCACCAAUGACCUCUUAUUUUCAUACUGCCUAUAGAAUUAAGUUAGUCUGCCCAAGAAGUCACUUUGUUUGACCCUGGUCCCAGUGCAUUCCCAAAUAUCAGGGAUUAUAUUCCCUUACUUUUACCUGGGCAUUGGAUGCCUCAUGUUCCCUUAUAUCAAACCUUAAAGGUAGCUUUUAGGCAGAAUCUGGUAGUGCCCUUGUGUCCUGAGGGUAGGACGAUAGAAGAAAAACUCAUUUGGCAUUAGACUUUUUCAUGGUGCUUAUUUGGAAGACCUUCUUCAUCUUCAGAAUAUUGAUCCAAGUCCUUUGGGGCCGCUGCUACUGUCAGAGUUGUUUUGAGUUUGGCAGUACCUCUCCAGAGCCUCAAGGUAAGGGACAUGUAGUUUGAGAAGUGGAAUACAAGUCCAUAAUCUAUAGAAUACUAGAGCUUAAUAGAUGAUUACUUCAUUACCUUGAUUAUACCCAUCAAUUUUUAGGUGUGAACAUUGAGAUCUGGGGUUGGGUGUAGGGUGGCUUGUGUGGGCUUCCCCAGGCUAGAUUGAAAACUCAAACAAACUGCAUGUACCCUUCUAUUACUUUUGUUUUUGGAGUUUAAGAAGUUUUAGAGUCUUGGCUUCUCAUUUAUUAUAUAACAAAAGGGAAAUAAAAAGUAGGAGUGGGAUAGUGUAUAGCUGGUAAACAUCUCCUGUAAUACAAGUGUUGAUGUUAUUGGGAAUUUUAUUUGAAAGUUUUUGGGAAGGGUAGAUAGUUAAGGGUAGGGCCCUGAGGGUUUGGGACAGGAGGGAAGGGAAGGGAUGGAGGAUCUAUCUGGAAUCUGUUUCAAAGAAGGAAAAACUGCAUAGUGUUUUGAAGAAAUUGAGCAUCAGUCCAAGAAGAAAUGUGAUGCCAGCAGCCAUCUUCACAUCACCCCCAAGCCUGUUCCCCUAUCUUGCUGGCAAGUCAUAGCCCUACUUUUACCCCCUUUUGCUGGUUUCAUGUAUUUUGAGGGUCAGCAAUUGUCCAUGCGCUGGGUGAGUUCAAACACUGUGUGAGGGACCACUUGGGUUUAGGACACGGGAACUAUAUGGAAGGGAUGGUUUCUUGUGAUAUGGGGCUGUGGUGUCUGUGUGAUGGGGAGCAUCAGAGAAGGUGUUUGGGGCAGCAUGGAGGGAAGGGUGCAUAUCCUGUAAGAAUCAGGGGACAGGGUUUCAUAACCUAUCACGUGCCCUGAAAGUCAGGAAUGGCUGCAGUUCUAUUACCAAGCCCUGACAAGCAGCCAUUUUGGUUAUUAGCAGUGACUUUUAAAAGUUUCUCCUUUGUAACUUUACUAUUUCACUUUCAACCUGCUCAGUAUGUUGAAAAUGAAGUUUAUGGACUAUCUUUAUAUAAAAGUCGCAACUUGUAAUGCCUCCAUUAUUAUAUGCAGGCUUUCUCUUUGCCCCUUCCUUGGCUUCUAGUGCCGUGUUGGGGUUGAUGGGCCAGCCUGCGUCCUGUCAGUGUUUUCUGAAUACUUAUUAUUGUGUUCAAUUUUUUGAUUGAUGGGAGAGGGGCAGAGGGACUAAAAUGGGGAUUGGGCUGUGUAUAUUCCUAAAGUUUUCUUGUGGUUUUCACAUGUUCCAAAUACUCUUAGUGUUUGGUAAGUACAAGACAUUUAAGCAACAAACACAGCUACAGACAUUAGAAGUCAUCUGCUUCAGCAAGACUUUAAGCACUUCCUGUAUUCCAUGUUUUACACUUGAGGGUACAGUUAAGAAAAGUUAACUUACUGAGAAGUUUCUUUGAUCCUGAAACUAUAUUCACCUGAUACAGGAAACCAGUCUUCUUCAAAGGUGAUGAGAAUGCCUUGACAAGAUGAUAGGGACCAGCACUGUACAUUUGUUCCCAAGGGAAUACUGCAACAUGCAGGCACAGCCCUUGGUCACCUAAUGAUGUGAAGGAGCCUCAUGUUGCAGCACAGAAGAUUUUUCGUCGUUGGAAGUUAAGGUUAGUUCACCUUCAUUGAUUCCUCCCUACACUGGACUAAAGCAUUUAAUCUAGAAACACUUAGGUCUCUAUAUAGCUUGUCAUAAUCUCUAUGCAUAGAAAGGGGCUUUCUAGAACCUGUCAGCAUAUUGUGAAAUAUCUCCUAUAUCAACUGAUAAUAAGAAAUCAGAAUUGCUUAAUUAUGGCAUUAAUAAAGUAUCACCUAGAUUGAACUAAGCAGGAAAAUUUUAGAUGAGAGUUUACCAUCACAAGCAAUAAACACAGCAGUCCCUGAAUCCUAAAAAGGUGGAGUUCUUGAUGGUAUUAGUGCGUAUCUUCAAAUUAUUUGCUCUCUGGAAAGAUGCUGAUAAAAUUUUGUCUGCUACCAUAGUAUCCCUGCUGGAUGGGAACCAUAUCUUUACAAUAGACUCUCCACCCAUUGGCAAGGUGAUAGCUCUAAGGACAGUCAUCUUGCAAGUGGGCAUGAAG
rnacentral:lncRNA from 1 species